rnacentral:rRNA from 1 species
CGUUCCCGGACCUUGUACACACCGCCCGUCAAGCCAUGGAAGUCGGGAGGACCUGAAGCCAGUUGCUGUGAGGCGCUGUUAGGGUAAAACCGAUGACUGGGGCUAAGUCGUAACAAAGGUACC